rnacentral:rRNA from 1 species
GAGGCCUUAGGGGCGCAACUAAAGCGAUAAGUCGUGCGGCUGGGGGCUACGGUCGCAAGACUAAAAAUCAAAAUGAGAUGGCCCGGGCCCGGACAAGCGGUGGAGCAUUUUUUUUAAUUCGAGGGACGCGAAGAACCUUACCUGGUCCUGACAUAGUAAGAACAUUCCAGAGAUUGGUUCGUUCCUUCAGGAACUUACAUACAGGUGCGGCAUGGCUGGCGUCAGCUCGUGUCGUGAGAUGGUGGGGUAAGGCCCGCAACGAGCGCCACCCUUUUCCUUAUUUGCCAGCACUUCGGGUGGGAACUUUAAGGAUACUGCCAGAGACAAACGGGAGGAAGGCGGGGGUGACGUCAAGUCAUCAUGCCCCUCACGACCAGGGCUACACACGUGCUACAAUGGUCGGUACAAAGGGCUGCUACCUAGCGAUAGGAUGCUAAUCUCAAAAAGCCGAUCGUAGUCCGGAUUGGAGUCUGCAACUCGACUCCAUGAAGUCGGAAUCGCUAGUAAUCGCGGACCAGAAUGCCGCGGUGAAUACGUUCCCGGGCCUUGUACACACCGCCCGUCA